CGGGGGGGCAAGCGUUGUUCGGAAUUACUGGGCGUAAAGGGCUCGUAGGUGGCCAACUAAGUCAGACGUGAAAUCCCUCAGCUUAACUGGGGAACUGCGUCUGAUACUGGAUGGCUUGAGUUUGGGAGAGGGAUGCGGAAUUCCAGGUGUAGCGGUGAAAUGCGUAGAUAUCUGGAGGAACACCGGUGGCGAAGGCGGCAUCCUGGACCAACACUGACACUGAGGAGCGAAAGCCAGGGGAGCAAACGGGAUUAGAUACCCCGGUAGUCCUGGCCCUAAACGAUGAAUGCUUGGUGUGGCGGGUAUCGAUCCCUGCCGUGCCGAAGCUAACGCAUUAAGCAUUCCGCCUGGGGAGUACGGUCGCAAGGCUG
rnacentral:rRNA from 1 species